AAGUCGUAACAAGGUUUCCGUAGGUGAACCUGCGGAAGGAUCAUUACCGAGUCGUCAAACAAGGGUUGUCGCUGGCCCCCCAAACGUGGGGCAUGUGCACGCCCUGUUUACACAUCCGCUCACACCUGUGCACCCUUUGUAGUUCUACGUUUGGGAGACCCCGUCUUCCUUCCGCGGCUCUACGUCUUUACACACACUCCGUAGUGAAGUCUCAUGGAAUGUUUUUCUGCGUUUAACGUGAUACAAUACAACUUUCAGCAACGGAUCUCUUGGCUCUCGCAUCGAUGAAGAACGCAGCGAAAUGCGAUAAGUAAUGUGAAUUGCAGAAUUCAGUGAAUCAUCGAAUCUUUGAACGCACCUUGCGCCCCUUGGCCAUUCCUCGGGGCAUGCCUGUUUGAGUAUCAUGAACACUUCAACUCUCAUGGUCCUCCAUGACGAGCUUGGACUUUGGGGGUUUGCUGGCCCUGCAGCCGGCUCCUCUCAAAUGGAUCAGCUUGCCGAUGUUUGGUGGCGACGUGGGUGUGAUAACUGUCUACGCUCGUGGUGUCGUCUGCCAGGUAACCCUCAGCAACGAAGGUUCGUCGGGGCUCACAAACGUCCCUCCUCGCGGGGGACAGCUUUUGAACGUUCGAUCUCAAAUCAGGUAGGACUACCCGCUGAACUUAAGCAUAUCAAUAAGCGGAGGAAAAGAAACUAACAAGGAUUCCCCUAGUAACUGCGAGUGAAGCGGGAAGAGCUCAAAUUUAAAAUCUGGCGUGCCUCUGGUCGUCCGAAUUGUAGUCUGGAGAAGCGUUUUCCGUG
rnacentral:rRNA from 1 species